rnacentral:tRNA from 1 species
GCCUGGAUGGCUCAGUUGGUUAAGCAUCUGACUUCAGUUCAGGUCAUGAUCUUGCAGUUUGUGAGUUUGAGCCCCACACUGGGCU